rnacentral:rRNA from 1 species
AAUUAGUUUUUUAAUUGAAAAAUAGAAUGAAUGGUUACAUUAAAUACAAAUAUUUUUUAUUUUUAAUUAUUAAAUUUUAAUAUUGGUGAAAAUACUAAUAGUUAACAAUUAGACAAAAAGACCCUAUGAAGCUUUUAAACACAAUUUUACGUUUCCUGUAAAUUAGAGAUUUCAUGGUAAAUGCUUUCCAUUAUUAGUAGAAAAUGUUUUUUUUUUGGGGUAAAAAUUAAUAAUGAUAUUACAUAUAGGUCAAAUAAAUUAUUAAAUGAUCUUUACAUAUUUGUAAAAUUAUAUGAAACAGCUCCUCUAGGGAUAACAGCAUAAUUCUUAUAAAARAUCAUAUUAAAAUAAGUGU